rnacentral:lncRNA from 1 species
UUUUUUUUAAAGAGAGAGUGAGAGAGGGAGAGAGAUAGAGAUAGAGAGAGAGAGAGAGAAUUUUAAUAUUUAUUUUUUACUUAUCGGCAGACACAACAUCUUUGUUUGUAUGUGGUGCUGAGGUUCGAACCCGGGCCGCACGCAUGCCAGGCAAGCGCGCUACCGCUUGAGCCACAUCCCCAGCCCAAGAGUUUUACAAUUCUAAGUAACAAAAAACAAUUUCUGGAACUGAGUUCCAGAGGACUGAGCAAGGCAGUGAUAUGUUUGUCAUCUGAAUAAUCUAUUAAGUACUUAAUAGGUAUCCAGGAGUGAGCUAAGGGCUAUGUCUCCUUUCUCAAUCUUCCCAACAACCCUCUAAAGUAGGAAAUACCAUCAUCUGUAUCUUAUGUAUGAGGAGAUUGUUAAGAACUUACACAGGGUUACAUUUUAGGAGCUGGCAGUAUCAGGAUUUGGGCUCUGGUAGUAACAUUAUUAAGCAUCAUUUUGAUUGGUUAAACAAUCUAUCACCUUAUAAGCAUACCUCACCAUCCCAUUGUUUUAAAUACUAAGGAUGAAUAGUGCUUUGAUUGGUUAAACAAUCUAUCACCUUAUAAGCAUACCUCACCAUCCCAUUGUUUUAAAUACUAAGGAUGAAUAGUGCUUUGUAAACAUUACUUUCUAAGAAAAAACUAAUAGGCAUUGUACUAAAUAUGGCCAGAAGUUUCCCAAGUGGUUCUAGAAAUGUAGAAAAUGUCUUUAUUUCCAAAUUAUAAAGGAUAGUACCGAGGUCACAAAGCUAUCUCCCUCCUAUUUCAAGUUGAUAAUCAUGACUUUCUACUUUCUAACCAUUCAGAGAGAAAAGUGGACUGUUGCAUAAUUGCUUAGAAUAAUUUAUAACUCUGAAGGAGGAUGGGAAAGGAGAAAGUGAUGUCUGGCUCAGAGGGCACCUCUAACCCCUUGCUCUAGGCAACCCUGUCCAAAUCUGAGUCAAAUGGGAGCCAGGAUGUAGUCAAAAGAUAUCUGGGAGUGGAGAUUGGUGGGAAGCUCCAGGUGUCCCUAAGUUCUGGUGGUACAUAGCUCAAACAGGCUGUCCUAGAAGUUGAGUUUCUUGGUCUCCUUCCUCUGACUAGCAGAUCAGGGUGGCUUUUGGGGGGGAGAGCAGUGAGCAAUCAGGUAUGGAAUAUCUCCCUGUACCUGUAGCACAGGGACCACAGAUACUUGGGGGCGGGCUUCUGAGAACCCAGAGCAGGAGGAGUAGGGGUGGACUCAGGGUACCAGAGGAGCCUGAGGGAUUAGAAGCCACAUCUUGCUCAAGGAAGCUAAGCCAUGUCCUGCCUCUGCCUGGGCAAGUCGGUGUUAUAAGGGUCCAGUGCUGGAAGACUUUAAAGAGCAGCAGUGGAGUGCAGGGUUAAGUCCUGGAAUCCUCAUAAUAGCUGUGAGAUCUUGGGUAAGACACCCAACCUCUCACACUACCUUAGUUUCCUUAUUUGUAAAACGAGGGUUAAUUGUAGUCAUCCCUCAUUGUCCGUGGGAGAUUGGUUUUAGGAUCCCCAAGGUUAUCAAAUUCUGAAGAUGCUCAUCUCUUUUACAAAAUGGCUCAGUAAAAAAAAAAUAAAUAAAUAAAUAAAGGGGAAAAUAGCAUAUUAUUUGCACAUAAUCUACAUUCCUCCUGUUGUAUACUUUAAAUCAUCUCCAGAGUACUUACAAUUCCUAAUACAAUGUAAAUGUUAUGUAAAUUGUUGUUAUACUAUAGGGAAGGACAAGAAAAGGAUCUGUACAUUUUCUGUAUGAACCCAGUAUUGUGUUUUUCCCCAAGUAAUUUUGGACUACAGUUGAAUCCAUGGAUUUAUAAUUAGUAGGCUAUUGCUUACCUCUCCAUUUUACAUAAGUGGACAAGACUUUCUUCUGAGCCUGUGUUAUCUAAUGUUAGAUAGGCGGCUGGCUUGUCUGUGAUAUAGGUGCCAUCACCUAGUAUUGAGCUGUUUGUGCCAUACCCUGCAAGAGGUUAAUUUAUAUUCCUUUUUAAUCUAAUGAAACAGGCACCACCAUUCCCUGCAUUUUGCAGGCAACAUUUGAAGAUUAGGGAGUAAACAGCUUUCCCCAACAGGGGCUGCAGCUGUAGCUCAGUGGCAGAGUGCUUGCUUAGCACAUGUGAGGCACUGGGUUCGAUCCUCAGCACCACCUAAAAAUAAGGCAUGCUGUCCAUCUACAACUGCAAAAAACAAAACAAAAUAAACCCCACAAACUAGCCAUGUCUGCCUUGAAGGCCUCAUCCUCUUCACAUUUCAGUUGUUUGAACUUACCUGGUCCAAAUAAUUGGGACAGUAUUGAAAUCCAGAUGCCGCUUUAGCAAAAUGUUGUGAAUGUGAACAUAAAUUUGGCUUGUUAAGAAUCAUCUAGUUCUCUAAAAGCUGACAAGUAAGAUGCUUGAAAGCAAGAAAAAGGGUCAGUACUAGCCUCAGGGUUCAUUAUGGUAAAGGGCCAGGGAGAAGGUUUGGGGAGAGGCCAAACAUUUGGUUCAAUACCUGGCUUCAUGUAUUGGUCAAUACCUUUCAAGCUGGCUUUAUCUACAUAAGCCUGAUCUACUUAAGACCCUCUGAAAUGGAUAUUAGUAUCCCUAUUUUAAAAACAGAUUAAAUAGUCUCUGAAAGCUCAUGUGACUUAUUAAACAUCAAUAUAAGUUUAGAUUCAAAAAUUUAGUUUCCCCUCCUGCCCUGAUUAACUGUUUGGGAACCAUUUGUGAGAUAUCUUCCUUCCCAAAUCAGGAUCUCACAGAACCCAGAAGAGCCUCAGACUAAAGUGGUUAAAUAAGAG